UACGAAGGGGGCUAGCGUUGCUCGGAAUCACUGGGCGUAAAGGGUGCGUAGGCGGGUCUUUAAGUCAGGGGGUGAAAUCCUGGAGCUCAACUCCAGAACUGCCUUUGAUACUGAGGAUCUUGAGUUCGGGAGAGGUGAGUGGAACUGCGAGUGUAGAGGUGAAAUUCGUAGAUAUUCGCAAGAACACCAGUGGCGAAGGCGGCUCACUGGCCCGAUACUGACGCUGAGGCACGAAAGCGUGGGGAGCAACAGGG
rnacentral:rRNA from 1 species